AUCCAGCUGACGAGUCCCAAAUAAGUUGAAACGUGCGUCCUGGAU
rfam:Schistosoma rodhaini strain Burundi genome assembly, scaffold: SROB_scaffold0014029